rnacentral:rRNA from 1 species
AUUGAACGCUGGCGGCAGGCCUAACACAUGCAAGUCGAGCGGCAGCGGGAAGGUAGCUUGCUACUUUUGCCGGCGAGCGGCGGACGGGUGAGUAAUGCCUGGGAAAUUGCCCAGUCGAGGGGGAUAACAGUUGGAAACGACUGCUAAUACCGCAUACGCCCUACGGGGGAAAGCAGGGGACCUUCGGGCCUUGCGCGAUUGGAUAUGCCCAGGUGGGAUUAGCUAGUUGGUGAGGUAAUGGCUCACCAAGGCGACGAUCCCUAGCUGGUCUGAGAGGAUGAUCAGCCACACUGGAACUGAGACACGGUCCAGACUCCUACGGGAGGCAGCAGUGGGGAAUAUUGCACAAUGGGGGAAACCCUGAUGCAGCCAUGCCGCGUGUGUGAAGAAGGCCUUCGGGUUGUAAAGCACUUUCAGCGAGGAGGAAAGGUUGAUGCCUAAUACGUAACAACUGUGACGUUACUCGCAGAAGAAGCACCGGCUAACUCCGUGCCAGCCGCCGCCGUAAAAC